AAAUUGAAGAGUUUGAUCAUGGCUCAGAUUGAACGCUGGCGGCAGGCCUAACACAUGCAAGUCGAACGGUAACAGGAAGCAGCUUGCUGCUUUCGCUGACGAGUGGCGGACGGGUGAGUAAUGUCUGGGAAACUGCCUGAUGGAGGGGGAUAACUACUGGAAACGGUGGCUAAUACCGCAUAACGUCGCAAGACCAAAGAGGGGGACCUUCGGGCCUCUUGCCAUCAGAUGUGCCCAGAUGGGAUUAGCUUGUUGGUGAGGUAACGGCUCACCAAGGCGACGAUCCCUAGCUGGUCUGAGAGGAUGACCAGCCACACUGGAACUGAGACACGGUCCAGACUCCUACGGGAGGCAGCAGUGGGGAAUAUUGCACAAUGGGCGCAAGCCUGAUGCAGCCAUGCCGCGUGUAUGAAGAAGGCCUUCGGGUUGUAAAGUACUUUCAGCGGGGAGGAAGGUGUUGUGGUUAAUAACCGCAGCAAUUGACGUUACCCGCAGAAGAAGCACCGGCUAACUCCGUGCCAGCAGCCGCGGUAAUACGGAGGGUGCAAGCGUUAAUCGGAAUUACUGGGCGUAAAGCGCACGCAGGCGGUCUGUCAAGUCGGAUGUGAAAUCCCCGGGCUCAACCUGGGAACUGCAUUCGAAACUGGCAGGCUUGAGUCUUGUAGAGGGGGGUAGAAUUCCAGGUGUAGCGGUGAAAUGCGUAGAGAUCUGGAGGAAUACCGGUGGCGAAGGCGGCCCCCUGGACAAAGACUGACGCUCAGGUGCGAAAGCGUGGGGAGCAAACAGGAUUAGAUACCCUGGUAGUCCACGCCGUAAACGAUGUCUACUUGGAGGUUGUGCCCUUGAGGCGUGGCUUCCGGAGCUAACGCGUUAAGUAGACCGCCUGGGGAGUACGGCCGCAAGGUUAAAACUCAAAUGAAUUGACGGGGGCCCGCACAAGCGGUGGAGCAUGUGGUUUAAUUCGAUGCAACGCGAAGAACCUUACCUGGUCUUGACAUCCACAGAAUUUUCAGAGAUGCGGAAUGUGCCUUCGGGAACUGUGAGACAGGUGCUGCAUGGCUGUCGUCAGCUCGUGUUGUGAAAUGUUGGGUUAAGUCCCGCAACGAGCGCAACCCUUAUCCUUUGUUGCCAGCGAUUAGGUCGGGAACUCAAAGGAGACUGCCAGUGAUAAACUGGAGGAAGGUGGGGAUGACGUCAAGUCAUCAUGGCCCUUACGACCAGGGCUACACACGUGCUACAAUGGCGCAUACAAAGAGAAGCGACCUCGCGAGAGCAAGCGGACCUCAUAAAGUGCGUCGUAGUCCGGAUUGGAGUCUGCAACUCGACUCCAUGAAGUCGGAAUCGCUAGUAAUCGUGGAUCAGAAUGCCACGGUGAAUACGUUCCCGGGCCUUGUACACACCGCCCGUCACACCAUGGGAGUGGGUUGCAAAAGAAGUAGGUAGCUUAACCUUCGGGAGGGCGCUUACCACUUUGUGAUUCAUGACUGGGGUGAAGUCGUAACAAGGUAACCGUAGGGGAACCUGCGGUUGGAUCACCUCCUUACCUUAAAGAAGC
rnacentral:rRNA from 1 species